GCCUCCAUAGCUCAGUGGUUAAGUUUCUGGUCUUGUAAACCAAAAGUCGAGACAUUUAAUUUCUCUGAGGGCG
rnacentral:tRNA from 1 species